GAGACCUAACACAAGGUCAAACAGUCAUAAACUACUGCACGUCCGUUUCAGGCCGGACAUAAGUAAGAAUUUCUUUACUGUCCGAGCCCGCAAGGUCUGGAAUGGUCUGCCAUCAGAGGUGGUUCAAGCACCUACACUGA